UGAGGAAUAUUGGUCAAUGGGCGAGAGCCUGAACCAGCCAAGUAGCGUGCAGGAUGACGGCCCUAUGGGUUGUAAACUGCUUUUAUGUGGGGAUAAAGUGCGUGACGUGUCAUGCAUUGCAGGUACCACAUGAAUAAGGACCGGCUAAUUCCGUGCCAGCAGCCGCGGUAAUACGGAAGGUCCGAGCGUUGUCCGGAAUCAUUGGGCGUAAAGGGUACGUAGGCGGAUAAGCAAGUUAGAAGUGAAAUCCUAUAGCUCAACUAUAGUAAGCUUUUAAAACUGCUCAUCUUGAGGUAUGGAAGGGAAAGUGGAAUUCCUAGUGUAGCGGUGAAAUGCGCAGAUAUUAGGAGGAAUACCGGUGGCGAAGGCGACUUUCUGGCCAUAUACUGACGCUGAGGUACGAAAGCGUGGGUAGCAAACAGG
rnacentral:rRNA from 1 species